GUCUUCUCUUACCCCUGUGCGCAGGCGGAAAAAACAAAAAGAAAAAAGUGUUUGAUGCAAAUAAGGGCAUGGAGGAGCUCACUGCUCGAGCGCUGGCGGAAGCGGCGGCCGUACUGACGGGGAGCGUAGGCGGGGGUGUCGUCGACUUCCCCCCGGAUCUAGUCUGCAGUUUGCCGAUCUUCAGUGGCGGUGCUCCGUCUGUGGGCUCUGCGCAUGAUGAGGGGAGCGAGGUGUGGGGCUGGCGAGGGACUGGCCUGCCAGAUUCGUCAGUGGCCGUUCAGGAUAGUUGCGGUGAUGCCGGGGGGGAGGGCAGCGGCGACAGCGCUCCAGCGGAGUCGGCGAGUCGGCGGUGAAGCCACAUCCGAAGGCGCCGGGGUGGAUUCAGAGGUACGCAUCUUCACCCCUCCGCCCUUUCUCUGAAGAUUUUGUCCCCUGUAGAAAAUUUGUUAUGAAAAAGAGGAAGAAAUAAGGGAAUCAAGUUAUGAAAAAAAAUUGUGUAGCAAACAGCAUUAAUGAUGGUCCGUAUAAAUCAAUAUCAUGAAAGAAAAAAAUAAAAAAAAAUGCUUAGUAGGGAGAUGGUGUUGUUCUAUGACGGAGUCAUAAGUCAAUGUUAGGAUUGGGAAAAAACAGGGAAAAAGAGAUGGGGAAAUGAAAACUCGACGUGCAAACUCAUUUGGGUCAUAGCGUUGUGGGCUGAUGCUAUGCUAGUGUUUAGCGGUGGACAGAGGAUCGGGCCGGAAUGCCGGCAAGGUACUAGGUUCUUGUGAUGGCAUUCAGGACAGCUAGGGUGCCCUGAAAUUCAUUUUACUCUAACGCUCUUCUUUUUUCGCGUGCAGGAGAGCCAUUUUCCCCCUUUAUGUAUUUGUACUGAAAAAAUCAUGCUGCGAUCCUCUAUUGUUACAAUUGUGUAGUAGAGUCCGUGUGAGGGGCGAAUCCUAUCAAGCGAACACCAUGCCCUGGUAGGAUGGGUACGCUUGAGAAGACCAUCAAAGGAUUUGCGGAAAGGGAAGGAGACGAGGUCGUAAAGCAUGAGUUGGGCACAACUUUCGAAUCGUUGAUAGAGGCUUAUGAUUUUUACAAUCUGUAUUUGUAGGAGCAUGGCUUUGGCAUCAGAUAUGGAAAAGGCCGGUUCAACCGGGAAAAAAGGAAGACCAUGCAGGAGAUUGUUUGUGGAUGCUCAAUAAGUAAAAAAAAGAGGGAAGCAUCUCCGUGAGAACACACGGUCAUGUCGGUGCGAGUGUCCAGCGAUGAUCGGGCUGUUGAGGACAUCGGGUAAUGGGUGGUACAUAACGGAGCAUCGAGUAAAGCACAACCAUGUCAUGGCCCCUAACUGUGGUGAGAUGCUGCAUUGGCCAUCCCACAAGCACAUUGAUGUUUACACAAGGGAUCUGGCGAGGAACCUGCAGAAGAAUAACAUCAACAUCAGCAAAGUGUACAUCACAAUUGGAGGGUUCUUCGGGACGAUUGAAAAUGUGCCUUUCGCGAAGAGGGUGCUUUGGAACUUGUGCGGGAAAAUAGGUCGGGACGAGCCAGAUGAUGAUGUGAAGAAAACAAUUGAAGUGUUCAAUGAACUAGGUGCAAAGGACCCUGAUAUUUUGUUCCGGGUUCAGGCUGAUGGCGAGAGCAGGAUGAAAAAUCUAAUGUGGACAACAGGGCAUAGUAGGCUAAAGUACAAGUUCUUUGGUGAUGUUGUCACCUUCGACACCACAUAUCGGACAAACAUGUAUGACAUGCCAUUUUGGCUGUUUGUUGGGGUUAAUAAUCAUUUUCAGAGCAUCUUGCUGGGAGGGGUGCUGCUUAGGGAUGAAGAAGUAGAAAGCUUCGAGUGGGUUUUCACGGAGUUCCUUAGGAUGAUGGGUGGUGUGGCACCGAGAACCAUAUUGGCGGAUCAGUGCAGAGCUAUGGAGGUAGCUAUAAAAACAACACUUCUGGAUACAGUCCACCGGUGGUGCAAAUGGCACGUCCUAAAGAAAGCAAAAGAAAGUCUUGGUGCUUUGUAUGGCAAGAGAACUGAAUUCAGGCAAGAGUUCCACAAGGUUGUCAAGACCAUGUUAACGGUGGAUGAGUUCGAAGAAGCUUGGGCACAUUUGAUCGAGAAAUACAACCUGAAGACCCACUCGUACAUGACUUAGCUAUUUGAAAUACGAGAGAAAUGGGUUAAGCCGUACUUCAAAAUGGUUUUCUGCACAAAAUGUCUGGCACCCAGCAGAGUGAGAGUGCAAACCAUAGGCUAAAGAAUUAUGUGCCACCAGGUUCACCAAGGCAUAAGUUUGUCAUGUAAUACAUGAGGCUGCAGUUUGACCCAUCAUCUAAUGAGAGCUACGAGAAGAGAACAAAAAUCGUGAUGGAUUUUUUGGGGAUGGUGAGAUCCCAGAGAAGCACGUUGUGAAGAGAUGGACAAAGGAUGCUCGUGCCAUACUACUAGAGCACCUACAGCACUACGAGCGAGAUCAGAUUAGCUCUACUACGCUAACUUUCAGAAAUACUACGCUAGCUUUCAGAAAUAACAGAAUGUACAUGCACUGGAGUUAGUGAGGCUCGGAGACACGAGUGUGGAAGCUUACGAAACUCUGAUGGGUCUAUUGAAUCAAGCGCUGCUGGUGAUGACACCGUUUGAUAAGGCAAAGGAUGGACUAAGACUGGAGGACCGUGUGCAGAACAAAGGCCAACAAGACGGAGCCGCGAGACAGAGAACAUGUAAUCCAGAGGCUGAUGAAGUGAAUUCCGAGCAUAGCCAUCCUUUAGGGCUUGUUCGUUUAUUCCCUUCCCCAAGGGGAUUGGAGAGGUUUGAAGGGGAUUGGGAAGGAAUUUGACAUACAGGGGAUGUAAUCCCUCACAAUCCCCUUUAAUCCCCCUCAAACAUUGUGCAACCGAACAAGGCCUUAGCAGGUUUGGAACCGCCGGCGAAGAAGAGAAAUCCGGGAAGGCCAAUGAAUGUUAGGAACAGAGCACCUUACGAAAGCACGGCGAAGAGGAGAUUAAGGGGCACAAACGAACAACUUGCCCACAGCAAGGAGACACCCCGGAAAAUCCUAGGAAGGACGCAAUGUGCAGCAACUGCGGCGUGGUUGGACAUAGGAAGAACGCGUGCAGACAGACCGGCCGGGCAAGGGGCUAAUGCUGAGACUGCAUAGCUUUACUGGAUAUCCUGUUCUACUUGUAACAAAAAGUGUAAACCUGUUAAUUUGUAGCUGCCUGCACGUUUAAGACCGAGCCGUCCAUGUCUUGUUAGAUCUUAACAAAAAGUGUUUCCUAUGGAAAGAAAGUCAAACCGACUACCCGCUAGACAGUGGAACUGAAGGAGUGUCAUGCGGCUGUCGUGCGCGAGGUGGCUCCAGAAAGUUUGAAUGUUCAAAAUUUGAACAGUGCAUAAAGGGUAGCUGCCACGGUAAAGACGGUAGCCAUCAUCGCCAUGUGCACAGUGGGCCUGUUUGGUAACGCGAAGGAGCGGACGUGGUGCUACAGUUAACCGGUCCAGGAAAAUGUUGACGUACUGGACCAAACUAGCUGGGCCUCAUCAAUGACAAGAGACAAACUACCUCAACACUGUGCAGAAAUGAAUGGAGAUUGGAGAAGCACU